AUGCAAGGAAGUCUCUGGGCGGAUGCCCAAAAUCAAGGGAAUCAGGCUAGGGCUCCUGAUAUUGAUAUGUCCGAAUUAGAGACCUUGUUCUCCACUGCUGUUGCAACCAAUGCAAGUGAAAAAGGAGGAACGAAGCGUGGCUCAGCUAUUAGCAAGCCAGAAAUUGUUCACCUGGUUGAUAUGAGAAGAGCAAAUAAUUGUGAGAUCAUGCUUACCAAAAUCAAAAUGCCUCUUCCUGAUAUGAUUAGCGCGAUCUUGGCUUUGGAUACGUCUGUUCUUGAUAAUGACCAAGUGGAGAAUCUCAUUAAGUUUUGCCCUACAAACGAAGAAAUCGAGAUGUUGAAGAACUAUAACGGCAACAAAGAAAUGCUUGGAAAAUGUGAACAGUUUUUCCUGGAGCUAAUGAAAGUUCCUCGCGUCGAGUCCAAACUAAGAGUUUUUGCUUUCAGAAUUGCAUUCUCAACACAGGCUGAUGAGUUAAGAACUAACUUAACCACCAUAAAUGAUGCAACAAAAGAGGUGAAAGAGUCUCUGAAGUUACGGCAGAUAAUGCAGACCAUUCUCACAUUAGGGAAUGCAUUGAAUCAAGGAACAGCUCGAGGUUCUGCUGUUGGCUUCAGAUUAGAUAGUCUUCUUAAACUAUCGGAUACUCGAGCUAGGAACAAUAAGAUGACACUAAUGCACUAUUUAUGCAAGCUUCUUGCUGAAAAGUUGCCUGAGCUUCUUGAUUUUGACAAAGACUUGAUUCAUCUGGAAGCAGCUUCGAAGAUCCAAUUGAAGUUGCUUGCUGAAGAAAUGCAAGCAAUAAACAAAGGUCUUGAGAAGGUCGAGCAGGAAUUAGCUGCUUCAGUGAACGAUGGAGCAAUAUCUGUUGGCUUCCGCAAGGCAUUGAAAUCCUUUCUCGACUCGGCAGAAGCUGUAGUUAGGUCCCUCAUUUCCUUGUAUUCAGAAGUGGGAAGGAAUGCUGAUUCCCUAGCUCAGUAUUUUGGUGAAGAUCCAGCUCGCUGCCCUUUUGAGCAAGUUACGUCGAUUUUGGUUAUUUUCGUGAAUAUGUUCAAGAAAUCACGUGAUGAAAAUGCUCGAACUGUGGAAGCUGAGAAGAAGAAAAUGGAAAAGGAAAAGGCAAGUAUGUCUACUAUAAAAGGAUAG
rnacentral:rRNA from 1 species